AAGAAAUCAUACCAUCCGAUUCCGGACAAAAUCUUUGGCGGCCUCCUUUUCUUUCCCCCAGCUUACGUACUAGCAAUCACAAGGCCCAAAACCACCAGCGACGAGGAAGAAGAUGAGAUUGAGCUUGAGGUUGUUAGAAUAAAAUAAAUGGUGAGAAGAUGAUAGCGGCAGCAGCAUCGAAAUAAGCAAAACCCAUAUCUUCUGACUCUUUCUGUUCGUAUCAUCUGUCGUCACCAACCUUUGAGCUUGUUACGGCGACGACUCAGUCCCCUGCUCCUCCCUAUUCCACCGAAAAUAAACCCCAAACUACUCCAGCAUGGGGCUCCAAGUAGUUAUGGGCAUUUAAGGAGUUGAUGGACGGAGGACAUGGAAUAACCAUGUAAUGGAAAUGGAGCAGAUAUUGGGAAUUGAAGCUGUAAGAAAAUGCAUAAUCGAUGAGAUAGCACAAACUAUGGAACAUCAUGGAAUGACCAAAGACAGACGCCAUAUGAUGCUUCUAGCAGAUGUGAUGACAUUUAGGGGGGAAGUUCUUGGCAUCACAAGAUUUGGUAUCCAAAAAUUGAACAAGAGUAUAUUGAUGCUGGCUUCAUUUAAGAGAACAGCUGAUCACAAUACUACUGUUAACGGGAGGGAUGACAAGAUUAAGGGAGUUACUGAGUGCAUCAUCAUAGGAAUCCCAAUGCAAAUAGGCACUGGAAUACUCAAAGUUAUACAGAGGAAAAGCAUUAAUGUCGUUGAUCAUAUUCCUCAUGCCAUGUGUGCAAGCAAGAAUCAUGCCGUGCAGAACAUUGCGAUUCAAUGAGUCAGUUUGUAACCCAUAUAAUGCUGAUUUUGAUGGUGAUGAAAUGAACAUGCAUGUCCCGCAAACAGAAGAGGCUCAAACAGAGGCAUUCAUGUUGGUGGGGGUGCAAAAUAAUUUAUGCGCGCCAAAAAAUGGAGAAAUUUUGGUUGCUUCCAUUCAAGAUUUUUUAACAUCUUCUUUUCUCAUUACAAGGAAGGAUACUUUCUAUGACCGUGUAGCUUUUUCACCUAUAUGCUCCUAUAUGGGUGAUGGCAUGGAUCUUAUAAAUUUGCCGACUCUAGCAUUACUUAAGCCAAUAGAGCUUUGUACUGGUAGCAAUUGUUUAGUGUUCUAUUAUGCCCACAUGCAAGUGUGAAAGUCUACUUGACUCUUAUUGUUAAAGAGAGGAACUACUCUAAGAAGAUUAUGAAAAGGAUUGGGAAUAAGGAAAUAGAAGUAGAAACAAUGUCCCAUGACGACGGAUUUGUUUAUGCUUGGAAUAAUGAGCUUAUAUGUGGGCAAUUGGGGAAAGCUACUUUUGGUAAGUUUUUGCUUAUUUCUUACUUUUUCCUACAUGUUCUGCAUGGAAUCAAUAAUCUCAUGUUCUUUUAAUUUGUUAUUCUGAAAUAUGAUUCUCAUUUUUUAGGUUUUCUAUUGAGUCAUAGAAACAUGCAUUGGCAAAGUGUCUCGUAGAUUAGUUUAAUAAUUAUGAGACUUGAGAGAUACCAGCUGCAUCUAGCAUCAUCAGGGUGAGAUAAGAUCUAUUGCUUGGUAAUUUUGAUUUGGUAUGUUGACAAGAUUACUCAAUAAAAAAUUAGGCCAAAACUGCAUGCUGAAUGAAGAGAAUACAGCUCUUGUUCCAAAGUUUUUACCAUACUUUUGGUUAGGUGGAAUGAAGAGAAUAAAAUUCUUGUUAGACAUUCUUUAGAGCAUAUUUUUAUUUGAGACUUUCCAUUUUUUAAUCUAUUACUUACCAUGGCUAAACUUUUAUGUUUACUAUAAUUGCUUUGUUCCUUUCAGUUUAUUCCUUAGAAUUAGAAAGGAAGAAAGCCUGUCACACACAAACACUGUUAGUUGCCCGUAGAUGUGGAGGAGCUACUUCUUAUCUAUCUUUCUUAUUUUUUUUCUUUUGUUUUCUGGUUUCCUCCGUGUAUAGUGUAUGAUAGAGUUGCUUUCUUCCUCUUGCUUGACAUAUUUGAAAUGAGUCAUAUUGGCUUGUAGGGCCACUUUUACAUAAGUCAUAGAGCUUGAGGUCACUGCAAGAUGACGUUUUUGGAUGACUCUUAAUGGGGCAAACUUAUGUUUUACUAAUUGCUUUAGGAUUAGGACUGGAUGUAUUAUCUAGCCUAUUUAUGAUUCCUUCUUCCUGUUAUGGGUUUAUAGUAGGUUACAGGGCCUACACUCAGUUGAACUCUUCUGUGAUGAACUAAACACAAGCUGAAACCCAGUAGAAUAGUUUUCAGCGAGCAUUCUAAGCAUUGUACAUAUUCUAUCUGUUUGGUUUGUUUCAAAUGCUAAUAGUUAAUGCAAGACAUUAAUUGUUGUUUUUUAA